rnacentral:tRNA from 2 species
AUUUUUUUAGUAUAAUAAGUAUAUCUGACUUCCAAUCAGAAGGCCUAAAUAACUUAGAAAAAAUA